ACAUCUAAAUAAAAGGAGACGAAACAAUUUACAUUUUACCGCGAUCACGAACCGUGUUGCACAAAAAUCGAUGAUGCCAAUUUUAAGUGACCGUUGGUAGAUUUCGGCUGAUUACGGUUUGAGUUCUAAAUGCUAUUGUCAUUACAAGGUCAUUAGACUAAAUAUUUGUGUAGAUAUAUAAUUUUAAUUAUAAUACAUUAAUUAUACUAGGAUUAUACCUUUGAAAUUAUUAUUAGUUUUCUAAUUAAAUUAUAUUAAAAUUACGAUUAAAAUAUAUUAGGGAAAUUACUAAAACAAUCCGGCAUCGCUACGGAUUAAUUUUUACUACGAAUUGUCGGAAUCUGUAGGAAUUACGCUGACAUUUGACGUAUUCAUUCAACUUUUGUCCAACGGAGCAUUGUUGCGAGUUUUCUGCGACCGUUGGAAGUGUUUGUGGAUUUCGGACAACUUUCGAAUAAUUAUUAGUGUUUAUUGCAAAGAAAACUAUUUAAAGUAGUUUUUUAACUAUCUACAAUGGUUCGCCAGUGCAUAGUUUGUGAAAGGUGGACUAUUCUAACUCCUGAUUGAUAUUUGGACGGUAAGUGUUAUUACAUUUUUUUACCUUUAGCAAUGCCUUUACAGUAGCGUAUCUAAGUACUUUUAGUUAUAAGUAGAUUAUUACAAAAAUACGUAUAUUUUCUUAUUUGCUGGCGUUUUUGAUUGUGAAAUUAGACUUAUCCUCAGUUAGACCUCAGGCAAAACCUUGGCAAAACCGAUCUACGUUUUAAGUCAAUUAUUUUAAGUAUUUGUCCAUUUCGCUGUUACAGUUGGUGGUAAAAAAUGCUCAGGGCGUUCCUAUAAAUACUGAGCUUAGACAAUGAUCGAUUUCACUCUUGAAUUUGAAAAAUCAAACUAACGUGUGUCCAAAUUUGUUCUGAUGAUUUUGAUAAGAGCAAUAUUAUGAUCGCCGAAUUAACUGAUCGAAGGCAAAUAAGACCAAAUUCUGAGCCUCAAAUAGAUAGUACCAUUUUUGCUGGGGCUUUAUCAUACAGGUUUUCUUCUAGUUUGUACCGCCACCCAAAAAAUGUUUUAGGUAAAUGAACCUCCAGACCAGCUGAGGGACUAGAGAAGGUCCCUACCUAGUCCCGCGAUUGGCAGUUUGGCUGGCCCCUCAAAUUUGAUUUUGCCUAAAAUCAUACAAGAUAAACUAGCCCUUCUCAAGAAGCCCUUCCCUCAAAACAACAGAAACGGCAUUGGAAAAAGAAGUUGGAAUUAACCAGUAUGUGCUCUUUCAUAGUAAGACAAUCCUCAUCUUCUGAUCUCUCAAUAGUUGGAUAUUUAUUAUCUCAAGAAAGUCGUCAAAGUAUCAGAAAAAGAAAGAAGUAUGUUAAUGAGGCAUUAUAAUGAUAUUAUGUAGAAAUUUAAGUCUUGUAAAAAUUUGGAAACAAAGAAAAUGAAAAAUACAUACUUUACAAAUAGGUCUUAGAAGAUUGAAAAAUAAAAUAAUAUCAAUGCAUCAGUUAAUUGAUUACUUAAAAGAAAAAUCUUUGAUAAGUGAAUCAACUGAAUUGACGAUUCAGGUUUCCUUAGCUGAACCAGUACAAAGUAUUUUUGAAAGAAUGUUAAAAGGACCUGCCACACAAAAAUCCAAUCUU
rnacentral:lncRNA from 1 species